rnacentral:rRNA from 1 species
UGAGGAACAUGACCUUCGGCGGGGGAUAGCCGGCCCAACGGCCGGGUAAUACCGCGUAUGACCUUUCGGGGACAUCCUCGGAUGGUGAAAGCAGCAAUGCGCCGAUGGAGUGCCUCGCGGCCUAUCAGCUAGUUGGUGGGGUAACGGCCUACCAAGGCGACGACGGGUAGCCGGCCUGAGAGGGCGACCGGCCACACUGGGACUGAGACACGGCCCAGACUCCUACGGGAGGCAG